UUGUGAUAUUAAAUUCAACGCUUUCGUAAUAUUUAAAUAUUGUAAAACAUCUUUUUCAUCUGUGAAAUGUUAUUCCAUGUUGCUUUGUUUAGCAUUUCUUUCACAUGAACAUCCAAAAGCAGUAAAAAAAUCUU